rnacentral:piRNA from 1 species
UGUGUGUGACCAAUGAAUUUG